rnacentral:rRNA from 1 species
CCCGCUGAACUUAAGCAUAUCAAUAAGCGGAGGAAAAGAAACUAACAAGGAUUCCCUUAGUAACGGCGAGUGAAGUGGGAUGAGCUCAAAUUUAAAAUCUGGCAAAUGGCUUGCCCGAGUUGUAGUUCAUAGAAAUGUUUUCGGUGGCAGUCUUGGGGUAUAAGUUCUUUGGAAUAGGAUAUCAUAGAGGGUGAGAAUCCCGUCUUUGACCCUGAGGUGCGCCACUAUGUGAUACAUAUUCAAAGAGUCGAGUUGUUUGAGAAUGCAGCUCAAAAUGGGUGGUAAAUUUCAUCUAAAGCUAAAUAAUGGCGAGAGACCGAUAGCGAACAAGUACCAUGAGGGAAAGAUGAAAAGAACUUUGAAAAGAGAGUUAAACAGUGCGUGAAAUUGUUGAAAGGGAAACAUUUGACACCAGUCAUGUGGCAGGAAAUCAGCUUUCAUUGACUUACUAUCUUGUGUCUGUAGAGAAAAAAAUUCCUACUGCGAGAGUAUAGGCAAAGCCAAAGUCUGCGCACUUUUCUGUUAGCAGGUCAACAUCAGUUUUGAUUGCCAGAAAAAAGUAAAAGGAAUGUGACUCCCUUGGGAGUGUUAUAACCUUUACCGAUAUGGUGGUUGGGACUGAGGACUGCAGCUUGUGCUCUUACUGGGCAGGAUAAUCUGCGGCUGUUGUUAAAACUUCAGUAGUAAACUGCAUGCAGGUUGUUAUUGGGGUGGCGACAGUUGUUGGAAGUUAUCACUUGCAAGCUUAGGAUGUUGACAUAAUGGUUUUAAAUGACCCGUCUUGAAACACGG